GGAGAGGUGCCUGAGCGGUUGAAGGGACCCGUCUCGAAAACGGAUAGUGGGCUUGCCUACUCGUGGGUUCGAAUCCCACCCUCUCCGC
rnacentral:tRNA from 1 species